AGCGCCGAAUUUGCUGACAAGGUUGGUCGAUUUUUUCAAGCCGUCGCGCAGUGUACGUAUAAUUA
rnacentral:rRNA from 1 species